GAACGCUAGCUACAGGCUUAACACAUGCAAGUCGAGGGGCAGCAUUUUAGUUUGCUUGCAAACUGAAGAUGGCGACCGGCGCACGGGUGAGUAACACGUAUCCAACCUGCCGAUAACUCCGGAAUAGCCUUUCGAAAGAAAGAUUAAUACCGGAUAGCAUACGAAUAUCGCAUGAUAUUUUUAUUAAAGAAUUUCGGUUAUCGAUGGGGAUGCGUUCCAUUAGUUUGUUGGCGGGGUAACGGCCCACCAAGACUACGAUGGAUAGGGGUUCUGAGAGGAAGGUCCCCCACAUUGGAACUGAGACACGGUCCAAACUCCUACGGGAGGCAGCAGUGAGGAAUAUUGGUCAAUGGGCGAGAGCCUGAACCAGCCAAGUAGCGUGAAGGAUGAAGGCUCUAUGGGUCGUAAACUUCCUUUAUAUGGGAAUAAAGUUUUCCACGUGUGGAAUUUUGUAUGUACCAUAUGAAUAAGGAUCGGCUAACUCCGUGCCAGCAGCCGCGGUAAUACGGAGGAUCCGAGCGUUAUCCGGAUUUAUUGGGUUUAAAGGGAGCGUAGGUGGAUUGUUAAGUCAGUUGUGAAAGUUUGCGGCUCAACCGUAAAAUUGCAGUUGAAACUGGCAGUCUUGAGUACAGUAGAGGUGGGCGGAAUUCGUGGUGUAGCGGUGAAAUGCUUAGAUAUCACGAAGAACUCCGAUUGCGAAGGCAGCUCACUAGACUGUCACUGACACUGAUGCUCGAAAGUGUGGGUAUCAAACAGGAUUAGAUACCCUGGUAGUCCACACAGUAAACGAUGAAUACUCGCUGUUUGCGAUAUACAGUAAGCGGCCAAGCGAAAGCAUUAAGUAUUCCACCUGGGGAGUACGCCGGCAACGGUGAAACUCAAAGGAAUUGACGGGGGCCCGCACAAGCGGAGGAACAUGUGGUUUAAUUCGAUGAUACGCGAGGAACCUUACCCGGGCUUAAAUUGCAACAGAAUAUAUUGGAAACAGUAUAGCCGUAAGGCUGUUGUGAAGGUGCUGCAUGGUUGUCGUCAGCUCGUGCCGUGAGGUGUCGGCUUAAGUGCCAUAACGAGCGCAACCCUUAUCUUUAGUUACUAACAGGUCAUGCUGAGGACUCUAGAGAGACUGCCGUCGUAAGAUGUGAGGAAGGUGGGGAUGACGUCAAAUCAGCACGGCCCUUACGUCCGGGGCUACACACGUGUUACAAUGGGGGGUACAGAAGGCGGCUACCUGGUGACAGGAUGCUAAUCCCAAAAACCUCUCUCAGUUCGGAUCGAAGUCUGCAACCCGACUUCGUGAAGCUGGAUUCGCUAGUAAUCGCGCAUCAGCCAUGGCGCGGUGAAUACGUUCCCGGGCCUUGUACACACCGCCCGUCAAGCCAUGAAAGCCGGGGGUACCUGAAGUACGUAACCGCAAGGAGCGUCCUAGGGUAAAACUGGUAAUUGGGGCUA
rnacentral:rRNA from 1 species